AAUAGAUACCCGGGUAGUCCAUGCCGUAAACGAUGUCUACUAGCCGUUGGGGCCCUUGAGGCUUUAGUGGCGCAGCUAACGCGAUAAGUAGACCGCCUGGGGAGUACGGUCGCAAGACUAAAACUCAAAUGAAUUGACGGGGGCCCGCACAAGCGGUGGAGCAUGUGGUUUAAUUCGAUGCAACGCGAAGAACCUUACCUGGCCUUGACAUACAGAGAACUUUCCAGAGAUGGAUUGGUGCCCUCGGGAACUCUGAUACAGGUGCUGCAUGGCUGUCGUCAGCUCGUGUCGUGAGAUGUUGGGUUAAGUCCCGCAACGAGCGCAACCCUUUUCCUUAUUUGCCAGCACUUCGGGUGGGAACUUUAAGGAUACUGCCAGUGACAAACUGGAGGAAGGCGGGGACGACGUCAAGUCAUCAUGGCCCUUACGGCCAGGGCUACACACGUGCUACAAUGGUCGGUACAAAGGGUUGCUACUGCGCGAGCAGAUGCUAAUCUCAAAAAGCCGAUCGUAGUCCGGAUCGCAGU
rnacentral:rRNA from 1 species